AAUGAACGCUGGCGGCAGGCCUAACACAUGCAAGUCGAACGAUCCCUUGUGGAUAGUGGCAAACGGGUGAGUAACACGUGGGAAUCUACCCUGUAGUUUGGAAUAACAGUUGGAAACGACUGCUAAUACCAGAUACGCUCUUCGGAGGAAAGAUUUAUCGCUAUAGGAUGAGCCCGCGCCGGAUUAGUUUGUUGGUAAGGUAAUGGCUUACCAAGACUACGAUCCGUAGCUGGUCUGAGAGGAUGAUCAGCCACACUGGGACUGAGAUACGGCCCAGACUCCUACGGGAGGCAGCAGUGAGGAAUAUUGCACAAUGGAGGAAACUCUGAUGCAGCCAUGCCGCGUGAGUGAAGAAGGCCCUAGGGUUGUAAAACUCUUUCAGUAGAGAAGAUAAUGACGGUAUCUACAGAAGAAGCCCCGGCUAACUUCG
rnacentral:rRNA from 1 species